GAUGAACGCUGGCGGCGUGCCUAAUACAUGCAAGUCGAGCGAACGGACGAGAAGCUUGCUUCUCUGAUGUUAGCGGCGGACGGGUGUGUAACACGUGGAUAACCUACCUAUAAGACUGGGAUAACUUCGGGAAACCGGAGCUAAUACCGGAUAAUAUUUUGAACCGCAUGGUUCAAAAGUGAAAGACGGUCUUGCUGUCACUUAUAGAUGGAUCCGCGCUGCAUUAGCUAGUUGGUAAGGUAACGGCUUACCAAGGCAACGAUGCAUAGCCGACCUGAGAGGGUGAUCGGCAACACUGGACCGGAGACACGGUCAAGACUCCUACGGGAGGCAGCAGUAGGGAAUCUUCCGCAAUGGGCGAAAGCCUGAGGGAGAACCGCCGCGUGAGUGAUGAAGGUCUUCGGAUCGUAAACCUCUGUUAUUAGGGAAGAAAAUAUGUGUAAGUACCUGUGCCCAUCUUGACGGUACCUAACCAGAAAGCAACGGCUAACUACGU
rnacentral:rRNA from 1 species